rnacentral:miRNA from 1 species
CCUGCAGUAUGAGCACUUCUUUCA